rnacentral:lncRNA from 10 species
ACUUAUGUAAUGAUGUUGACACUUUUGACUUUUAUUUCUGGUAUUAGAGUUUGUAUUUUCACAGAGUGCUUUGUAGCAGGCAUUACAAUUAAUCUGUUUUGUACAUAAAUGUGCCAACAGCUUGAUGGUGGCGUUUUUGAAAUGUAGAACAAAGUGCUUGCAAAAUGUAAUAAAUACACUUGUGUACUUUGUGUACUUAUUAUUAGCUUCUGCAGUGUAUUUGUUUUUUUCUUUUUUGUUUUGUUUAUUCCUCUUUCCUAUGUGUGUGAACUCUUUUCAAGUACAAUAGAUGCUAUCCCCUCAUGAUUCUACUUCAGCUGAGCUGACCUAACCCGUCAAAAUUCAAUGACGAUGCUGUGCGUAAACAUUCACUAUCAGAAUGCUAGCUCGAGGGAGCAAAGACUUUGGAGGUUAUUUUAUUUAGAAAAUGAUAACUUUCUCUGAGUGCUGCCAUUUUCUUGUCUGAUCUCUAUUGUUUUGUGUUUUCUUUAGUACUUCACAAACUAUCAGAGAAAAAAAAGCCCAAUGCAAUUCAGAAAGAAAAAUGAUUUCUUGGUUUGCUUCAAAAUACAAAGGUGGGGAUUGGUUCCAGGACACCCGCAGAUAUACUUUUAAAUUUACUGAUGGUCGAAUUAAGAUAAUUCUGGAACAAGCAGAUGGAGCAGAGAGCACACCCAGCGAAGGUCUGAUUAAUGUUUCUUCUUACUCCUACAUGGACAGAAAUUGAUGGAGCAACAAAGUUAUUUAAAAGUGAUAUCUUAAGCCUAUUCAUAACACAGGUAAAACAAGUGUGAAGAAAGAGCUUUCUGUUGAUGUGUUUGUUCAGAAAAUUCCAGAAGGUUGUUACAGAGGGCAAUUAAUCAUGUGCC